AUUGAACGCUGGCGGCAGGCCUAACACAUGCAAGUCGAGCGAGCGGCGGACGGGUGAUUAAUGUAUGGGGACUGCCCGAUAGAGGGGGAUAACUACUGGAAACGGUGGCUAAUACCGCAUACUAUCGGAUAACCCAUAUGGGAUUAGCUAGUAGGUGGGGUAAAGGCUCACCUAGGCGACGAUCUCUAGCUGGUCUGAGAGGAUGAUGAGCAAGACUGGGACGGGAACAAGGCACAGACUAGUACGGAGGCAGGAGAGGGGAAUAUAACGCAAUGGACGCAGGCGAGAUGCAGCCAUGCAGCGUGUAGGGAGAAGGGCUUGGGGUUGUAUAGUACUGUCAGCGGGGAAGCGUUACCCGAAGAGGAAGCACCGGCUAACUACGUGCCAGCAGCCGCGGUAAUUC
rnacentral:rRNA from 1 species